rnacentral:rRNA from 1 species
UACGGGGGGAGCAAGCGUUGUUCGGAUUUACUGGGCGUAAAGGGCGCGUAGGCGGUCAGCACAAGUCAGUUGUGAAAUCUCCGAGCUUAACUCGGAAAGGUCAACUGAUACUGUGCGACUAGAGUGCGGAAGGGGCAACUGGAAUUCUUGGUGUAGCGGUGAAAUGCGUAGAUAUCAAGAGGAACACCUGCGGCGAAGGCGGGUUGCUGGGCCGACACUGACGCUGAGGCGCGAAAGCUAGGGGAGCGAA